AGCGAACGCUGGCGGUAUGCCUAACACAUGCAAGUCGAACGGGGGCGCAUUGGCAUCUUGGUGGUGGAGGGGGGAGGAAGGGGUCGGGACAUGUAGAGGGGGGGGGGAUAACUGUGGGAAAGUGCGGCGAAUGGCAACUGACGCUGAGACGUGACACGCGCUGCGAAAGGAGACAGGGGCUCGCCGAGGCUGCCGCGUCUGAAUAGGCCGUUGGCGGAGUAGCGAGUUGGCGGGGUAAAGACCCAUCAAGGCGACGAGCCGUAGCUGGGCUGAGAGGAUGAUCAGCCACACUGGAACUGAGACACGUUCCAGACUCCUACGGGAGGCAGCAGUGGGGAAUAUUGGAGAAUGGGCGCAAGCCUGAUCCAGCCAUACCGCGUGGGUGAAGAAGGCCUUCGGGUUGUAAAGCCCUUUUGUUGGGAAAGAAAAGCAGCAGGUUAAUACCCCGCUGUUCUGACGGUACCCAAAGAAUAAGCCCCGGCUAACUUCGUG
rnacentral:rRNA from 1 species